GGGCGAUGUCGCGGACUUUUAAUUGACCUUCUCAGCAUGGCGGCGAAAAGGGCGGGGAAGUGGAGGACCGGGUGGGUGUCACUGGACUGCCUGCAUGGAAUACCGACCCCGGCGCGGCCCCGGUGGUAUUUUCUGUGGCGUUUCAAGUGUACCCGACACAUGCUAUGGUGUCAGGGGCGCCGCGGGCGGGCGUAUUUCGGCGGGUUUGUGAGAGGCAUCUGGGUAAACGCCUCGCUGUGCCGGGGUCCUCUCACGGCCGCCUUCCCGCCCCGAGGGAGCCGAGCCGGGCCGAAUUAUUCCGAAGAGCCGAGUGUGGGCGAAGACAGCCGAGUUGAGCCGAAGAGCCGAGUGUGGCCGAAAAGAGCCGAGAUGAGCCGAAGAGACGAGUUUAGCCGACAACAGCCGACUUGAGACGAAGAGCCGAGUGUAGCCGACAACAGCCGACUUGAGACGAAGAGCCGAGUGUAGCCGAACACAGCCGACUUGAGACGAAGAGCCGAGUGUAGCCGAGUGUAACCGGGAGCCGAGUGUAGCCGACAUUGGCCGCGUUUAGACAAAGAGCCGAAUAUGACCGAGUUCAGCCCAACCGGGCCGAGUUCAGCCGAAGAGCCGGAAAAGCCGAAUUUAGACGAAAAGCCGAACCGAAACGAUUUUAGACCUAAGCCGAACCAAGCCUAAUUUAGCCGAGUUUAUUUAAACGGAACCGAACGACGCCGCAGCGCUCUGCCUGCAGAGCGCCGGUGCAGACGGCAGGGGGCGGUGUAUAAAGGUGCUCAGGAAGCAUGCGUCCCUUAGAGUCCCACGGAAAGGUUCUCAGUGCGCUCUCUAUCAAGUGCUAUGAGUCUUGAUAAAUUGGAGAAGAGCCCAAGAGAAAUUUUUCAUCCCUUGAUAUAAAAGGGAUCGGUGAAUUUUAACUUUGGAGUCCUCUGUGCUAAGGAUGCUCAGCUUACAGGUGAGAUGAAAUGUUCAGUAAUGUAUUUGCUGCAGCUCUGCUUACCCAAGCUUUGGGUUCCUUCUGUCCCACUGGGAGUUGCCCAAUUUGGUUGCAUCUGGUGAAAUUCACCCUGAGACCUUACAGAACCAGCUCCAACUACGUGAGAGCCAUUUGCAGUUCUCUCCAGACGCCUGGAGAACGGGCGACGUUUCUGAGGAUCCGGCGAGCGUGCUUCUGUCAAAACUCAGUCUGUGAAGUUUCUGGGGAAAACCCUUCUGUGUCCUGAAGGGUUCAAACUCUGGUGAGGAUCCAGUUAUCAGGUGCUCGCCUGGAUGGUUCCAGCUCCCAAAGGGAAAGACUCUCGUAUCCUUGUCGUCGGGCUCGGUGCUGCCCAAGAAGAUACAGAGACUAAAAAAAUCAUAAGAAGCAAAAUAUGACUGCAGGGAAAAGAAGCUGGAGAGAACAGAAGGCUGCCAUUUGUGUGCCAUCGGUACUCACCACGGAAGGGAGCUGGGGAUUGUUGCAGCUGUUGGGAACAAACCGCUUCUCGUCACACAGAAAUGGAAUUGGGACGACGCCUCGGCCAGCCCCUCUCUGCCAUCGUCUCCUGAAUCUGCAGCAGAGCAGUUCCAGUCCAUCCGGGCACGUGUAAUUCAGUUCCUGAUGAUCUGAGCACACGGAGCAGCGCUCAGCUGCUGUUGGGGGCUCACGGAAGGCAGAGUGUGCAUUGUCAUCUUCCUGAACCUACAGACGAAUCAAAGUGAGAAGCAACAGCGUGGAAAUCAGUUGCAUAUAUGCUAAAUAAAACUUGCAGAUUUUUUUAAGAA